CACGUCGGGAGCCCCUUCACCCGAGCGAGACCCCGUCAUGUGACCGCCGGGACGAGGGUUUCAGAACUUGUAUGAAUUAUCUGCAUAAGAUGAGAGAAUAUCCUCCUAGAUUGAUACUGAAAAUUCUCAAAGCAUUAAUUUGGAGAAACACACAACAGCAAGUAAAGCAAGUUUGGAAAACUAUUGGCCAUCACCCCAAGACAACCAAAAUGCACUGCUCCCUGGGUGCAAGCUGCUGACCUAUGAAUACCAAUAUGGAGAAAAGAAUUAUUCUGUAUAAACCCUGUUGUAUGCUGGACAUCAGUGUUAAAAAUCAAUUACUUGUCCUCCUGAUGUAUUAUUUCAAGUUCCCUUGUGGCUCAGCAAGUCACUGUGCCACAUGCUAGGGAGAUGGUAUGAUCAUGUAUGCACAUUCUCUAAAAUAGAACAGGACUGGCAUAUUGGAGGGAUUUAUUAUGAGGAAAUGGGAAGGUAUUAAUUCUUUCUGCCCCAAGUUGCAGGGGAUAUCCAAAUAAGUCACACAGUAUUUAAGUGCCAGUCAGAUCAGUGCAUUACCCUGCCCUUGAUACAACAAAGAUUAAUUCUGAAAUAGAGAUCUUCUGUCUAAAAUUUUCUAGCCAAAUAACUAAUGGGACAACAGGACUUGAAAUUCUGGUUGUCUUUGGUAAAGUCAUCUUACAGAAGCUUGUAAGGAACCUGUCUUCAUUAAUAAAGGUAACUUCUUAUUCAUUCAUUCAUUCAUUCAUAAUGCAUGACAACGACCUGAAAAGGACAUGAGCAACAGGGAUACUGGUGUGGUUAAAAACCCUAUGUAAACAUUACUUAACCCUUACUAAAUUCCAUUCUGACAAUGUUCCUUUUAUCUUAUUUUCUUAAAACAUCUAAACUCCUUUUAGUUCUCGCUUCCAUGCAAUACACAAUUUCUCUUCACUGAUGCUGUUUGACAGAUCCAUGCAAACAGGAGAGCUGACUGCAUACAUUUUCUUCAAAAGUUGGAGCAAAAAUAAAAACUUUUUUUUUUCCUGAUCUCAGUUGCAGUAACUUUGUUUUGCAACACUAG